GACGAACGCUGGCGGCGUGCUUAGCACAUGCAAGUCGAACGGAAAGGCCCUGCUUUUGUGGGGUGCUCGAGUGGCGAACGGGUGAGUAACACGUGAGUAACCUGCCCUUGACUUUGGGAUAACUUCAGGAAACUGGGGCUAAUACCGGAUAGGAGCUCCUGCUGCAUGGUGGGGGUUGGAAAGUUUCGGCGGUUGGGGAUGGACGCGCGGCUUAUCAGCUUGUUGGUGGGGGAGUGGCUUACCAAGGCUUUGACGGGUAGCCGGCCUGGGAGGGUGACCGGCCACAUUGGGACUGCGAUACGGCCCAGACUCCUACGGGAGGCAGCGGUGGGGAAUAUUGCACAAUGGGCGGAAGCCUGAUGCGGCAACGCCGCGUGCGGGAUGACGGCCUUCGGGUUGUAAACCGCUUUCGCCUGUGACGAAGCGUGAGUGACGGUAAUGGGUAAAGAAGCACCGGCUAACUACGUG
rnacentral:rRNA from 1 species